UCCUCGGCCUCGCCUCCCCGUCUCCUCGCGAGCUCGCCCGCCGCCUUCUCCCUCCGCGCGAGCAGCGGCGCCGCCGUCCUGCUGCUGCUCCGCCGCAUCCUCGCUGGUGAGCACCGCAAGUAAGGAUGAGUAGGCGCUGGAGCCGGACCAUUUAUGUGGGGAACCUCCCGGGCGACAUCAGGGAGAGGGAGGUGGAGGAUCUAUUCUACAAGUAUGGACGAAUUGUUGAUAUUGACUUGAAGAUUCCCCCAAGGCCACCUGGUUUUGCUUUCGUUGAGUUUGAAGAUCCCCGUGAUGCUGAAGAUGCAAUCCAUGGACGGGAUGGCUACAACUUUGAUGGUAACCGAUUGAGGGUGGAACUUGCACACGGUGGGAGAGGUAACUCUUCCUCCUUUAACGGUUCUGGUGGAGGAGGACGUCGUGGUGGUGUAUCUAGGCAUACAGAGUAUCGUGUUCUGGUUACUGGACUACCUUCUUCAGCAUCAUGGCAGGAUCUAAAGGAUCAUAUGCGAAAUGCUGGUGACGUUUGUUACUCUGAAGUGUACCGUGAAGGCAGUGGUACUAUAGGAAUUGUAGACUACACAAACUAUGAUGACAUGAAGUAUGCUAUCAGGAAACUUGAUGACUCUGAAUUUAAGAAUGCUUUCUCAAAGGCCUAUAUAAGGGUGAAGGAGUAUGAUGGAAAACGCAGCCGCUCAUACUCGCGAAGCCGGAGCCGGAGCCGGAGCCGAGGUCGCAGCGACAGCAAAAGCAGGAGUCCAAGUAAGUCUCCCAAGGGUAAGUCAUCACGCCGUUCGGCAUCUAGAUCUCGAUCUCGAUCAGCUUCUUCCCAUUCAAGAUCAGAGUCAAAGGGGCGCUCUCCAUCAAGAUGAGGAUUUGUGCGGAGAUCUAGGGAUUGCAUAACGGGAAAUCGAAGUUGGGGUUUCUUCUGUUUGCAACAAAUCUAAUGGUUGUGUGAGACUAUCAGAGCCUGGGCAUAGGGAAUUGCUUUGGGACACUGGAGGUAGAGCAUUAAGGAUUGAUACGCAAUGGCUGUGGUUGCUCGGAUUGAGUAAAUGAGGAACAAAUUCCUUGCUUGCUCUUGUUGAGCUCACUUUGGAGGAAUAUUCUAGCGAAUAUGGUCACGUAACAUUUGAUACUAAACACUUUGAAUGUUUUGAUCUUUGAGGACUUGGAUCUCUUCUAAUUUCCAUGAGCUCUUUUUGCUUGCAAUUGGCCAUUCCAAUGGUUGGGAGGCGUGAAGGCUUUUUGGAAGCAAGCUGUUAAAGCUGCAUUCUGGAAUCUGGAUAUUGAAUCUGUUAUUUCUGGAACUUUUUGCAGAUCACCAGCAAGAUCAAAGUCACCAAAUACCUCUCCUGCCAAUGGUGAAGCAGCAAGCCCCAAGAAACGUAGCCCAAGCAGGAGCCCGUCCCGUUCCCG